ncrna:unclassified sequences Streptococcus sRNA SpF59 (ldcC RNA)
CGACUGCUCAAAGCAUAUACCAGCCAAGAGCCGAGGCCAUACGGACAGCCGAGUCGAAUGCCGA